GACGAACGCUGGCGGCGUGCUUAACACAUGCAAGUCGAACGGUGAAGCGCCUUCCUUUUUGGUGGGUGUGGAUGAGUGGCGAACGGGUGAGUAACACGUGAGUAACCUGCCCCCUUCUUCUGGAUAACCGCAUGAAAGUGUGGCUAAUACGGGAUAUUCUGGGUCUGUCGCAUGAUGGGUCUGGGAAAGAUAUUGUUUCGGUGGGGGAUGGGCUCGCGGCCUAUCAGCUUGUUGGUGGGGUGAUGGCCUACCAAGGCGGUGACGGGUAGCCGGCCUGAGAGGGUGGACGGUCACACUGGGACUGAGACACGGACCAGACUCCUACGGGAGGCAGCAGUGGGGAAUAUUGCACAAUGGGCGCAAGCCUGAUGCAGCGACGCCGCGUGAGGGAUGGAGGCCUUCGGGUUGUGAACCUCUUUCGCCAGUGAAGCAGGCCUGCCUCGUUUGUGGGUGGGUUGACGGGAGCUGGAUAAGAAGCGCCGGCUAACUACGU
rnacentral:rRNA from 1 species